rnacentral:lncRNA from 1 species
CCUUUCUGUCCCUCAGUGAGUUUGAAGCAAUUUGUGUGGGAGUCGGAAGCUCCAGAGAUCCAUUCUUCUCCCCUUCCCUGCAGUGUCAACAGAAUGAUAGUGAAGGAUUAGCUGUGGGAUGAUGGUGGGGCUUGAUCUGAAACAGUGGCUUACGAGUGACGCACCCUACUGGAUGUGAGAAUGAUGGGAGACAAGAACACAAAUGAUGCUGGCCUGACAUCCCCCUGGCUUGUAAAAGAUGACACAUUCUUCUCUGGAUAAACCAGCUUCCAUGAAGCAAAGGCCCAAAGCAGUGCCCUCCUGUCUGCCUAUAAGCCACAUGAAGUGAAAGGCCAUGUCUUGAACGGAGAAGAACAAAUUUGGGCAUGUUGCAAAUGUGGCCUGGAGUUUGUACUGUGAGAUUAAAGGAUGUCUGGUUGAAAUAAAGACAGGCCAAAAAAAAAAAAACCAGACUGAAGGAAGGAAAUUACAGGCUAUAGGAGUCUUGGGCCUGGAGGCCCAAAUGAAGCUGGUAAAGUGCCUCACUGUUUGUCAGAGGUCAGCAGAAGAGGGGGAAGCACUUGGCUACUGAAGUGGACAAUGGAAGUGACUUUGUUAGAGGCUGAGAAGAAGAAUUCUCUCCCUAAGUGCUGGGGAUCAAAUCCAGGACCUCAAAUGUGCUCGGUGAUUUGGCCACAUUCUUCAAGGUCUUUCUGUCAUGUUUUCUGAUACAGUUAACAUAAUCUGCAGCCACCUUUUCUGGGAAUUGGUCUCACUCACAAGCGAUGCUCAAAGACUAUGCCUCGCACAGAAUAAGUGCCAAUAAAUAUUUGUUGAAUUGAUUUUCCUCUUCAAAGAUGUGGCAGAAAGACCCUCCUGCCUUAUGGACAUAAUUCUUUUGUGCAGCGGUUAUUGAAUUCCUUCUGCAUGGAUAUUGGUUGCAUCAGCCAAUACAAGAUGUCUUUCUUGUGUUUCCUGAUGUGGAAACCAGACCCUGCUCUGUGAUGGAGUCUCCUGAUGUUGACCAGCCUCUUCCUGCCUCCCUACAGCAAGGUGGGGUCCUCCCUGAUGAUGACAGCAAGAUGCAAGGGCUGACCUCAUUUGUGGUAUCCCAGAAUGUGGAACCCAG